CCUACGGGUGGCAGCAGUGGGGAAUAUUGGACAAUGGGCGAAAGCCUGAUCCAGCCAUGCCGCGUGUGUGAAGAAGGCCUUCGGGUUGUAAAGCACUUUCAGUGGGGAAGAAAGCCUUGGGGCUAAUACCCUCGAGGAAGGACAUCACCCACAGAAGAAGCACCGGCUAACUCCGUGCCAGCAGCCGCGGUAAUACGGAGGGUGCGAGUGUUAAUCGGAAUUACUGGGCGUAAAGCGCGCGUAGGCGGUCUGAUAAGCCGGUUGUGAAAGCCCCGGGCUCAACCUGGGAACGGCAUCCGGAACUGUCAGGCUAGAGUGCAGGAGAGGAAGGUAGAAUUCCCGGUGUAGCGGUGAAAUGCGUAGAGAUCGGGAGGAAUACCAGUGGCGAAGGCGGCCUUCUGGACUGACACUGACGCUGAGGUGCGAAAGCGUGGGUAGCAAACAGGAUUAGAUACCCGGGUAGUC
rnacentral:rRNA from 1 species